rnacentral:tRNA from 1 species
GGGGCCGUAGCUCAGCUGGGAGAGCACCUGCCUUGCAUGCAGGAGGUCGCCGGUUCGAAUCCGGUCGGCUCCACCA